UACGGGGGGGGCAAGCGUUGUUCGGAAUUACUGGGCAUAAAGGGCUCGUAGGUGGCCAACUAAGUCAGACGUGAAAUCCCUCGGCUUAACCGGGGAACUGCGUCUGAUACUGGAUGGCUUGAGGUUGGGAGAGGGAUGCGGAAUUCCAGGUGUAGCGGUGAAAUGCGUAGAUAUCUGGAGGAACACCGGUGGCGAAGGCGGCAUCCUGGACCAAUUCUGACGCUGAGACACGAAAGCGUGGGUAGCAAACAGG
rnacentral:rRNA from 1 species